GUGAUGAUGACAGUGAAGUUCAUGUAAGGUUGCCAUCUCAAGAUAGUCCACUAUCUGACAUUGUGGUGUGGGAUGGUCCAGAUGAAGCAAGCACUCCAAGACUGGAGAAAAUUUUUAAUGGGCCUUUUGGACACACAGAACAAGGGUCUGAUCAGGAUGGCGGAAACACCAACAUCCAGGAGCAUCCCAUGUCCUCAGAGGGCCAGAACCACUUCUAUCGCAACUACACAAAUGUGUACGCACCAAUAACUGUUGACAGCGACUCUGAGCCAGAUGAAUAUCUGAUGCAGUUCCCUGAGCAAAGUACAGACAACGUGACUGCUGCAGACAUCAUUUCAGAGCUCUCGGCAAUGAUCACGUCAUCAUCUCUCAGCCGCUUUAACAUAAACAGAGCCAAUGUAUGGGAUGGAGCACAGAGAAGUUUCAAGCGGGCUUCUUUCAACCCUUUCAAUGAAAUGUUUGUAAAAUUCACCGAUGACGAGGGACAGGCAGAAGACGGCGUUGAUAACGGUGGUCCCAAGCGCGAGUUUCUAAGCCUUUUAAUGAACUGCUUAAAGGACUCGAAGAGUCUUUGAUGGGCCAGAAGAAAGUAAAUGUAUCACUUUUGACAGUGAAGGUAUUGCCGUUAAGGGCAAUAUUUCAGAGUUUUCUCAUAAGAAUGUGACAGCUGUUGGUGAAUGUGGAAUUAAUGUGAACAAAAUCUAUACAGCAGCCAAAAAUUAUGAAUAUUUCCUGGUUGGGAGGCUGAUUGCCACUUCUGUCGUUCAUGGAGGUCCAGGUCCUCAAUUCUUAUCUGAGAAGCUCUACCAGCACCUCACAGGAACAUCAACAAAUACAGAAGGAAAGAUAGAAGACAUCACCGACAACACCAUGAGGGCUUCUUUGAUUGAGAUAUCCAGUGCAGGUACAUUGACUGAACUACACCAGUCAGUUGAAAGACAUGCAAGCAUCUUGCAAACUGCUGGUUGCUUGCAGUUCCCUGUGACUGUUGAUGACAAAUAGAAAAUUGUAAAGGAGUUCAUUGAUUGGUACAUCAUUUACCGCAACCAUUUCUCUAUUCAAAGAUUCAAGGAUGGCCUUUCAACUCUGAACUUCCAGAAUGCUUUGGAGCAGCAUGCUUCCGUCUUCAGGCCAUUUAUGUGUGCAAGAGUGGAACAGCUGACAUCCAAAAUAUUGGAGGAAAUAUUUGAGGUUCAGCUCAGUGAAAAGGGUAGCAGCAGACGACAUGAGGAAACAAGAGUGCUAGGAUUCUGGAGAGACUUUCUCCUUGACACAGAAGAACAAAAUACGGGUCUCUCUCUCCAGGACGUCCUGAUGUUUGCCACCGGCUUGAACACACUACCUCCAUCUUCAAUUCUGCCACCACCAAAACUGAUCUUUCAGGCCACUUCUCGUUUUCCUGUCAGUAGCACCUGCUCCAACACUAUCAAAAUACCAAUGUCCAAGACGUAUCAUCAGUUUAAAGAAGACAUGGACUUUGGGAUUCAAAACUCCCCUGGGUUUGGGCUUUAUUAAGAUCAAAUGCAUAACAACAAAACAAAAUGCUAACUAUUUAACUUGUCAAACCUGUUCAGUUAUGACACUGUUUAGUGUUUGUGUGCGACCUUCAAAUUUGGAUUCUUGUUUGUUUAUAAGUCCACUAUGUUUUUCAGUUUGAUAUAGUUUUCGACACAUGAUUCCCAACUCUGUGGAUGUGCUAGGCCACACUGUCUCUGGAGGUUCUCAAAAUGUGUCUGAAGGUGUUCAUCUCCACAUUGAAUGUUGUUAGUCUCUGUCACAAACUGUCCCAAUUGCUCCUGGGAGACUGGGCAACCACAGUCUGUUACCUAGGAAUAGAAGAAGCACAGUAAACAUUUAGUUAUAUUUACAUUUCUUCACUAAACUGUUACUGCUGUGACUAUUGUUGUAACCUGUCUAAAUGAUUAAUUGUAUUUAAAUUUACAUUUUAGAAAUUGUCAUCUGAAAUUGUUAGAAUAAAAAGUGACAUACUGUUAA